rnacentral:sRNA from 1 species
ACCUGGUGAAUUGGUGGCACACUUGCCUAUC